GACGAACGCUGGCGGCGUGCUUAACACAUGCAAGUCGAACGGAAAGGCCCUGCUUUUGUGGGGUGCUCGAGUGGCGAACGGGUGAGUAACACGCGAGUAACCUGCCCUUGACUUUGGGAUAACUUCAGGAAACUGGGGCUAAUACCGGAUAGGAGCUCCUGCUGCAUGGUGGGGGUUGGAAAGUUUCGGCGGUUGGGGAUGGACUCGCGGCUUAUCAGCUUGUUGGUGGGGUAGUGGCUUACCAAGGCUUUGACGGUUAGCCGGCCUGAGAGGGUUGCCGGCCACCUGGGGCCUAAGGUAGGGCCCAGACUCCUACGGGAGGCAUCGGUGGGAAUUAUUGCACAAUGGGCGGAAGCCAGAUGCAACGACGCCGCGUGCGGGAUGACGGGCUUCGGGUUAUAAACCGCUUUCGCCUGUGACGAAGCGUGAGUGACGGUAAUGGGUAAAGAAGCACCGGCUAACUACGUG
rnacentral:rRNA from 1 species